rnacentral:rRNA from 1 species
GUCGAGCGGCAGCGACUUAACUGAACCUUCGGGGAACGUUAAGGGCGGCGAGCGGCGGACGGGUGAGUAAUGCCUGGGAAUAUGCCCUGAUGUGGGGGAUAACUAUUGGAAACGAUAGCCAAUACCGCAUAAUCUCUUUGGAGCAAAGAGGGGGACCUUCGGGCCUCUCGCGUCAGGAUUAGCCCAGGUGGGAUUAGCUUGUUGGUGAGGUAAUGGCUCACCAAGGCAACGAUCCCUAGCUGGUCUGAGAGGAUGAUCAGCCACACUGGAACUGAGACACGGUCCAGACUCCUACGGGAGGCAGCAGUGGGGAAUAUUGCACAAUGGGGGAAACCCUGAUGCAGCCAUGCCGCGUGUGUGAAGAAGGCCUUCGGGUUGUAAAGCACUUUCAGUAGGGAGGAAGGUAGUGUAGUUAACACCUGCAUUAUUUGACGUUACCUACAGAAGAAGCACCGGCUAACUCCGUGCCAGCAGCCGCGGUAAUACGGAGGGUGCGAGCGUUAAUCGGAAUUACUGGGCGUAAAGCGCGUGCAGGCGGCCUGUUAAGUCAGAUGUGAAAGCCCAGGGCUUAACCUCGGAAUUGCAUUUGAAACUGGCAGGCUAGAGUCUUGUAGAGGGGGGUAGAAUUUCAGGUGUAGCGGUGAAAUGCGUAGAGAUCUGAAGGAAUACCAGUGGCGAA